CCAAUAGCGUAUAUUAAAGUUGUUGCAGUUAAAAAGCUCGUAGUUGGAUUUCUGGUAGGAGCGACCGUGCCGAACUUGAUUGUUCGAGUAUUGUGUUGUCUUCAGCCAUCCUCGUGGAGAACUUUUCUAACAUUAACUUGUUGGGAUUGGGACCCGCGUCGUUUACUGUGAAAAAAUUAGAGUGUUUAAAGCAGGCAUUAGCUUGAAUACAUUAGCAUGGAAUAAUAAGAUAGGACUUUGGUACUAUUUUGUUGGUUUGCAUACCAAAUUAAUGAUCAACAGGAACAGUUUGAGGAUAUUCGUAUGAACAUGUCAGAGGUGAAAUUCUUGGAUUUUGAUCAGACGAACUACUGCGAAAGCAUUUAUCAAGGAUGUUUUCAUUAA
rnacentral:rRNA from 1 species